rnacentral:rRNA from 1 species
AUGUCACUUUGUGCCGCCGUCGGUGGAACCGCGCUAAGCGAUCUGGUGCGGAUCAAGAAGCACUUCUGGUGCAAGCAUGGUAGUCAGCGGCAGUGGAUGUGCGCCCGCUGCGCAAGGACUACACCGUCCGGUUCGGCUACAAGGCACACCUCAAGAACUGCGGUCACAUCUUCUCCCGAUCGCUACGCUCAUCGAGCCAGAAAAAUAUAUAGAAAACAGCUGUCGCAUGCAUGUAAGCAAACCAUGCAUGCAAGCACGUCCCCACAUUCUAGUAGAAACCAACCACCCGGCAAUUCUUGGUCCAAGUAA